UGUUCCAUGGUGUAAUGGUUAGCACUAUGGACUUUUAAUCCAGUAAAUCGAGUUUGAAUCUCAAUAGAACCU